UGGGGAAUAUUGCACAAUGGGCGCAAGCCUGAUGCAGCCAUGCCGCGUGUGUGAAGAAGGCCUUCGGGUUGUAAAGCACUUUCAGCGGGGAGGAAGGCGUUAAGGUUAAUAACCUUGGCGAUUGACGUUACCCGCAGAAGAAGCACCGGCUAACUCCGUGCCAGCAGCCGCGGUAAUACGGAGGGUGCAAGCGUUAAUCGGAAUUACUGGGCGUAAAGCGCACGCAGGCGGUCUGUCAAGUCGGAUGUGAAAUCCCCGGGCUCAACCUGGGAACUGCAUUCGAAACUGGCAGGCUAGAGUCUUGUAGAGGGGUGUAGAAUUCCAGGUGUAGCGGUGAAAUGCGUAGAGAUCUGGAGGAAUACCGGUGGCGAAGGCAGCCCCCUGGACAAAGACUGACGCUCAGGUGCGAAAGCGUGGGGAGCAAACAGG
rnacentral:rRNA from 1 species